UUAGUUAUAAAUACAAGCAUUAUUAUGCCAGUAUAAUACCAAUUUCACUUAUAACAAGUAUUUACAAAUUGAAAAAAUAUCUUUCAGAAUAAGUACCUACAUAUUAGAAGGAGUAACAAUCAUUACCGCUCUUAAAUUAAUAUUAUAAAUUAUUAGAGAAUUCAAAAAGUGUUAUUUGAUUCCACUAGUAACAAACAAACUCAAACAGGAACACGUAUGGUAAAUUAGAGUUACAACAAUUUUAUUCAAAGUAAAUAUACAUUUUUUCUGAUCCUACAUCACCAGCGUAAAAUGAAUUUAAGUGCUUUAAAAAUGUUGUUUUAUACGUUAAUAGUGCAUGUUAUUGGUCCAGAUAUUCAAAGAAAAGUUUCAACAAUGUUGGGAAUAAUUUCUGAUAGAAGUAAGUUUCAAAAAAUCGUAGAAGAUUUUAAAAUAAAAUAUGAUCUACUAGA